GAUUGUCUUCCGGAUCUGACGAAGGUCGUUCUGGCGGGUUCGAGGAGCGCGCUCUAUCAGUUAUUUCACAACAACAGUCUGCAGAAGAAGCAGCUGAGGGCAGAGACAUCAAUCAUGCAUGUGAUCAAGAGAGAUGGUCGUCAGGAGCGUAUUAUGUUCGACAAAAUCACAUCACGCAUCCAGAAACUUUGCUAUGGGCUCAAUGCUGAGUUUGUUGAUCCUGUAAGUUAUGAAAUAGCCUA